UGAUGUUAAAAUUAUAGUUUUGCAAGUUUUAUACGAGAAAUUUAAAUUCUUUGCGAGUUUAAGCGAAUUUGUUAUUUAAUCAAGGGCAAUUUCGAGAUUUGCAUAGGGCAUGGGAUCAUGCUAUUCUUGGGAGACGUUCUUGAACACAAAAACUAUCUUUUAACUCAUUUUAAAAUCCAAUUUCUCAUUUAAAAAAUCACAAGUAGAUUGUACGAAUCCAAGCAGUUUCAUAACUUAAAAAUUAAAAAUAAUGGCUACAAUAACUCCCAAUUCAAUCUCAUUCUCAAUCUUACCCUCAGUUAAUCCUCUUUUCUCCUUCCUCUCCCUCUCUCCAAUCCUCUCUCCUUUUCGCCGCCGGAAACCGCUUUCCUUCAAAAAAUACGACUCUUAUUCGGACUCCAAUGGAUGAGGAACAUGCAAUCGGUCUGAUAAGAACAUUGAGAGAGAGUUCCCUUAGAAUCUUUCCAGUGAGCCAAUUCCAGAGAGCAUUUUGCCCAAUAUACUAAAGUAAGUGUUUUAAGUUGAAAAUAUUAUAGCAAUUUAACAUUAGUAUAUAUGGAUAGGUAGAAAUUUGAACUCCUAUUUUAAGUUAUUCUUGUCUAACUUUCCAUCAACAUCUCUUCUUCUGUUUUCCACAAUACUUUUCAAAGAGAGAAACUAUUAUAUGACCAAGUAAAUUGAGGAUAAAAUAAUAAAUGAACAACAAAGACAUGAUGUUACUCCAUUUCAUCUCCAUGUGACAAGAAGGGACACCAAUUAUGACAACAGUUAUGGUACGUUUGGAAUAGAGGAAACCAAGCUCCAUGGAAUCUAUACAAUCAUAAAAGGUCAAUAUUCCGAGUUAGUGAUUAGUUGUCACUUCUGAUAUUUUUAAACUUGUUAGGUACACAAUAGUUUUCACAUUAAGUUAACGAGGGAUCAAAAACCAUCAAUAUUCCAUUCCACCUAAGGAAAUAAGGGAUGCGGUAAUGUAACUAGUGGACGAUGACUUGUAAGCCUUUAAGCCAAUUUCCUCAAAGACUAUGUAACAAAUCUAAAUUCGCAACACAAAUACUCAAGUAAUAUGUAAUCAUUGAUAGCCAAAUCACGAAGGCAACACUUCAACUAUAGAAUUACAAUGGAAAAUACUGAAAUAACAAGUAACUAAAGAUAGAGAUAAGAAUGUGGAUGAAAAGCUUAGACUCUAGAAAGAGAUGGGAGAAACAAACAAUUUCUUUCACAAUCUGCAUAUAUAAACUCCCAAAACCGCAAUGCUUACCCCUUUAUCUCUACUCAACCUGGAUUCCAAGCAAACCUAUUGUUGGGCUGUCUUAUCCACUUCGUGGUUUAGCCUCGGGCCCAACAGCUUGUCUAACCUCUCGGCUAUCCGUGAUCACAACAGACUAGAAGGGGAAAAAGAUUAUGAUAAAUCGAGAUUGAUGAACAAUUGAAUCACAAGAUGAGUACUACUCAUUUCUAACAACUUGUUACUCAUAUUUUGUAGUGUUCUACAAGACUUGUUAGAGGACAGAGGAGACUUAACAAAAUAAUACUCCAUAUGUCCUCAUUUUCUCUAGAUGUUGUGUUCAUUUCGAGGUCAU
rnacentral:lncRNA from 1 species